AGGCAGAUUCGAAUUGUCGCUCUAAGGAGAGGAAAGUCCGGGCCUUAUAGGGGAGAACGCAGGCUAAUAACCUGACAUAAGAGAUAUCUCUUGUGAUGGAAAGUGCCACAGAAAAUAAACCGCUAGAGUGAUAUCUAGUAAGGGUGAAAAGGUGUGGUAAGAGCACACCGCACAAUUGGUGACAAUUGUGGCAGGGUAAACCCCGUUCAAGGCAAGCUCAAGCAGUAAGGAGGUUCCCCGCCUAUUAACCUUACGGGUAGAGUGCAAAGAAAGUACUGGAGACAGUGCUUCAAGAUAGAUGACAAUGAAAACAGAACCCGGCUUAUGAGAGAGUCUGCCUUUUU
rnacentral:RNase_P_RNA from 2 species